rnacentral:rRNA from 1 species
UCGGGGCUCCUUGGUGAAUCAUAAUAACUUAACGAAUCGCAUGGCCUUGCGCCGGCGAUGGUUCAUUCAAAUUUCUGCCCUAUCAACUUUCAAUGGUAGGAUAGUGGCCUACCAUGGUGUCAACGGGUAACGGGGAAUUAGGGUUCAACUCCGGAGAGGGAGCCGGAGAAACGGCUACCACAUCCAAGGAAGGCAGCAGGCCCCCAAAUUACCCAAUCCCGACACGGGGAGGUAGUGACAAUAAAUACUGAUACGGGGCUCUUUUGGGUCUUGUAAUUGAAAUGAUAACAAUUUAAAUCCCUUAACAAGGAACAAUUGAAGGGCAAGUCUGGUGCCAGCAGCCGCGGUAAUUCCAGCUCCAAUAGCGUAUAUUAAAGUUGUUGCAGUUAAAAAGCUCGAAUUUAAACCUUGGGCCGGGCUGGCCGGUCCGCCUCACCGCGUGUACUGGUCCGGCCGGGCCUUUCCUUCUGGGGAACCGCAUGCCCUUCACUGGGCGUGCCGGGGAAACAGGAAUUUUACUUUGAAAAAAUUAGAGUGGUCCAAGCAGGCCUUUGCUCCAAUACAUUAACAUGGAAUAAUAGAAUAGGACGUGUGGUUCUAUUUUGUUGGUUUCCAGGACCGCCGUAAUGAUUAAUAGGGAUAGUCGGGGGCAUCAGUAUUCCAUCUUCAGAGGUGAAAUUCUUGGAUUUGUUGGAAGCUAACUACUGCGAAAGCAUUUGCCAAGGAUGUUUUUUAUUAAAUCCAGGAGAACCAAAAAUUUUAGGGGAUACCGAAAACAAACUAUCCAUAUAUCACCUCGCCAGUACUUCUUACCCCUAUAACUACUAUCCCCACAACUAGGAGUAUCGACAAAUGGUUAUUUUUGGGUUCACUG